rnacentral:rRNA from 1 species
AGGUUGCAACUCACAGGAAUUGACGGGGGCCCGCACAAGCGGUGGAGCAUGUGGUUCUAUUCGAUGCAGAGCGAAGAACCUUACCUGGGACUUGACAUGUAGGAAGUAGAAACCCGAAAGGGCGUACGACCUGUUGAGAUCAGGUACCUACACAGGUGGUGCAUGGCCUGUCGUCAGCUCGUGCCGUGAGGUGUUGGGUUAAGUCCCGCAACGAGCGCAACCCUUACCCGAUGUUGCCAACGGUUCGGCCGGGCACUCUUCGGGGACUGCCGGCGAAGAGCUGGAGGAAGGGGGGGAUGACGUCAAGUCCGUAUGCCCCUUAUGCCCAUGGGCUACACACAUGCUACACAUGGUCGGUACAGAGGGUUGCCGAACUCGCGAGAGGGAGCCGAAUCCCACAAAGCCGAUCUCUAGUUCGUGAUUGUCAGGCUGCACACUCGCCGUGCAUGAAGUCGGUAAAUCGUCAUAG